rnacentral:rRNA from 1 species
AACUCCUACGGGAGGCAGCAGUGAGGAAUAUUGGUCAAUGGAUGCAAAUCUGAACCAGCCAAGUAGCGUGCAGGAUGACGGCCCUGUGGGUUGUAAACUGCUUUUAUGUGAGAAUAAAGUUAGGUAUGUAUACUUAUUUGCAUGUAUCACAUGAAUAAGGACCGGCUAAUUCCGUGCCAGCAGCCGCGGUAAUACGGAAGGUCCAGGCGUUAUCCGGAUUUAUUGGGUUUAAAGGGAGCGUAGGCCGUGGAUUAAGCGUGUUGUGAAAUGUAGACGCUCAACGUCUGAAUUGCAGCGCGAACUGGUUCACUUGAGUAUGCACAACGUAGGCGGAAUUCGUCGUGUAGCGGUGAAAUGCUUAGAUAUGACGAAGAACUCCGAUUGCGAAGGCAGCUUACGGGAGCACAACUGACGCUGAAGCUCGAAGGUGCGGGUAUCAAACAGGAUUAGAUACCCUGGUAGUCCGCACAGUAAACGAUGGAUACGGGUUGUUAGUUCUCUAAGAAAUAGCGACCAAGCGAAAGCAUUAAGCAUCCCACCUGGGGAGUACGCCGGCAACGGUGAAACUCAAAGGAAUUGACGGGGGCCCGCACAAGCGGAGGAACAUGUGGUUUAAUUCGAUGAUACGCGAGGAACCUUACCCGGGCUUGAACUAAGCAGGAAGAUGGGCAGAGACGCCCGUUGUCUUCGGACCUGCUUGGAGGUGCUGCAUGGUUGUCGUCAGCUCGUGCCGUGAGGUGUCGGCUUAAGUGCCAUAACGAGCGCAACCCUUCUCCACGUUUGCCAUCAGGUUAAGCUGGGCACUCCGUGGAUACUGCCAUCGUAAGAUGUGAGGAAGGUGGGGAUGACGUCAAAUCAGCACGGCCCUUACGUCCGGGGCUACACACGUGUUACAAUGGCCGGUACAGAGGGAAGCCACCAGGCGACUGGGCGCUGAUCCAUCAAAACCGGUCUCAGUUCGGACUGGAGUCUGCAACCCGACUCCACGAAGCUGGAUUCGCUAGUAAUCGCGCAUCAGCCAUGGCGCGGUGAAUACGUUCCCGGGCCUUGCACACACCGCCCGUCAAG